CAAAAUUCAUUUAUUCCCCUUGCCUCUGUUCUAUUUAGAGUUAGUGGUCAGAAAUGUGCUUGCUAAGCAGAUAAAAUCUGUAACUAAGAGUUCUUAGUUAAAUCAUCCACCCUCUUGUUUGCCCGGAACUUGGAAAAUUCCCGGACUCACUAUCAGUAGAACAACCGUCACCAAAACGGGCUGACUAUCAGUACGUGACGGCCGUGACCCUGUGGUCACAAGGUCUUACUGUGUGCCUGCUGACCAUCAGCAUGUAAUAAUGAGUCACAAACCUUUGUUCCCGUUCCUGCCUGUUAACCCCCCCUUCAGUCUCCUAUAAAAAUAGCUUUGGAUUCUGUGCCUGCUGCCUCUCUCAGCUACCUUGCUUUGGGAGUGCCGUCUGGCCAGACUAAUAAAGGUCUGUUUUUUUCUUCCCACUGUCCGGUGUGUUCCUCCCCGGGUGAUUGCCGCUGUAGCCAGCUCCUCGGAGCGUUUGGUAAGGCCCACGGUCUUACAGUACCAAAUGUACCUUAGGUAGCUGAGAGAAGAACUCCUCCUUUCAGUAUGGAAUGUGUUAGGAACCAUGGAGGGAGGGAAGAAAGGUGGACAGCAGUGAAAUACCUGGGCCCAACAGGGGGAGCUAUAAAAUAGAAACAGAAGAUUAGAAAAAGGGAGGAACGAAAUUGUCCUCAACAUUCAGUUAAUAUUAUGCCAACUUUUCUCUCCCCGCUGGAAGAAUUAUUGAACCAAUCUGCUGGUUCUUUGGCUUUGGUCCUUAAAGAACACGUUUCUCUCACUUUAGCCACCAGGGGACAGUAAAGAGUGCUUGGAGGUGCAGGGCUGACCUGUUUUGGCCUAGUUUACAGAUCUAAUAAAGGUCAUAGAAAUUGAGAUUGUUGUUCUGUUAAAAAAUAAAAGAGAGAGACAUUGGAGGCUGGUGACAUAAGCACUCGUGUCACUGUCCUUUAUCUUCACGGAGCACAGGAAACACCAGGCCCUCACAGAAUGAGGCAUUUUCAGCCUUCAUGUUUGCCUCCGCUCCUUUGCUCCCUGAGAAGCAGUUUUCAGGGAAAGAGAAAGCCUGUCAUUCCGGAGGUACAGAAGUCUCGUUUAAAAUGAAAUAUAGAUGCCCAUUCUUUCCAAGUUCCUGAGACUUUAAAUGUAAAAGAACUCUGGUCUCAAAGAAAUCUAAAUUAAAGAGAAAUAAUGCUAUGACAAAAA